CAUAUACCGUCUCUCAUCCAUGGUUGCAUUGUACCUGAUGCCUGGAAGAGGAGAGAGGGCAAGACCAAGCUGGGGCUUCAUCCACAUCUGCCGACCUGUUCAGCCUCUGGGCUGGCCUCAUCCCUCACAGGAAUCCCUUGAAGGGAAAGCAUCAUCAGAGAAUCCAGCAGACGUCAAAGGUGUCUCAGGAUGUGACCUGGUACUCAGACCCCAUUUUGGGAAAGCCCCAGGCUGUGAACCGGAACAAUCACAAGGCCCACAGAGAGACUGGAGCUUGCUGACCGCCCAGGGAGGCUGGUUUACCGACGGUUGCUGUGUGGAAGUGGGGUGCCAGGAAGAUAGGUCCGAAGCAGAGGAAGGCAGCCAGGCAGGUGGCAUCCCUGCCAUUGCGCUUGCAGUCCUUGUGGAAGAUGUUGAUCUUGGAAGGCUCAAAGUGGAGGCUGGCGUUGAUCUGAACUACGGGACGCGCCCUGGAACAGAAAGGCAGGCAUCCGUAUGCACAGAAGUAUUGAGAGCUGGACUGACCCAAGGCUUUCUCAGAAGCCCCUGUGAAAGGACAGAAGGACCCUAGCUCCAUGUGCUUGCUCAGGAGCAGACUUGGCCAGUCUGGGGCUGAGGCUAGAGCUUUGCAGGAGGUAAAGUUCAGUUCCUGGGGACUCGGGUUUCCCCCUGAAGAGACUGGAGGUUACAGUCCCCUGGCUGCUGUGUGCUGCAAUGCUCUAGAGAUACCCAGCAUUCCCUUGUGCAGCUUUGCAAUUUCAUCCCGUCUAUGAUGGUUCUGCUGACUUUGUUCCAUAUCUCCCCCUGAAAAUCGUAUAUAAAAAUACUAUACUUCAAAAUGAGCUUUAAUGGUGUGAUGGCUUAUAUAUGCUGGCCCAGGGAGCAGCGCUAUUAGGAGGUGUGGCCUUGUUAGAGUAGGUGGGUCACUGUGGGUGUGGGCUUUAAUACCCUUGUGUCCUAGCUGCCUGGAAGCCAGUCUUCUCCUAGCUGCCUUCUGAACAAGCCGUGGAACUCUCGGCUCCUUCAGCACCAUGUCUGCCUGGAUGCUGCCAUACUCCCACCUUGGUGAUAAUGGACUGAGCCUCUGAACCUGUAAGCCAGCCCCAAUUAAAUGUUGUCCUUUAUAAGACUUGCCUUGGUCAUGGUAUCUGUUCACAGCUGUAAAACCCCAAUUA